AUGGGAUGGAGCUGGAUAAUUCUCUUACUGGUGGCAGCAGCUACAAGUGUCCACUCCCAGGUCCAGCUGCAGCAGUCUGGGGCUGAGCUUAGGAGACCUGGAGCCUCAGGGAAGUUGUCCUGCAAGGCUUCUGGCUACACCUUCACUAAUGAAUACAUGCAGUGGGUGAAGCAGAGGCUUGGACAGGACCUGGAGUGGAUUGGAUGGAUGUAUCCUGGAAAUGGUAAUCCUAAGUACAAUCAGAAGUCCCAGGGCAAGGCCACACUGACUAUAGAUAAAUCCUCCAGCACAGCCUACAUGGAGCUCAGCAGCCUGACAACUAUGGACUCUGCCGUCUAUUACUGUGCAAAAAACACAGUGUUGCAACCCACAUCCUGA